AGCAGCCGCGGUAAUUCCAGCUCCAAUAGCGUAUAUUAAAGUUGUUGCAGUUAAAAAGCUCGUAGUUGAAUUUCGGGAUCAUCAGGUUGGUCGUGCCUCUGGUAUGUACUAAUUUCGAUGGUUCCUCCUUCUUGAAGAACCGUAAUGCCAUUAAUUUGGUGUUGCGGGGAAACAGGACUGUUACUUUGAAAAAAUUAGAGUGUUUAAAGCAGGCAAUCGCUUGAAUACAUUAGCAUGGAAUAAUGAAAUAGGACGUUCGAUCCUAUUUUGUUGGUUUCUAGGAUUGACGUAAUGAUUAAUAGGGAUAGUUGGGGGCAUUAGUAUUCAAUUGUCAGAGGUGAAAUUCUUGGAUUUAUUGAAGACUAACUACUGCGAAAGCAUUUGCCAAGGAUGUUUUCAUUAAUCAAGAACGAAAGUUAGGGGAUCGAAGACGAUCAGAUACCGUCGUAGUCUUAACCAUAAACUAUGCCGACUAGGGAUCGGAUGAUGUUAAUUUUUUAAUGUACUCAUUCGGCGCCUU
rnacentral:rRNA from 1 species